GGGGGUAUUGCUCAGUGGCAGAGUGUAUGCUUAGCAUGCGUGAGGUCCUAGGUUUAAUCCCCAGUACUUCCA
rnacentral:tRNA from 1 species